rnacentral:rRNA from 1 species
UAGGGAAUCUUCGGCAAUGGACGAAAGUCUGACCGAGCAACGCCGCGUGAGUGAAGAAGGUUUUCGGAUCGUAAAACUCUGUUGUUAGAGAAGAACAAGGACGUUAGUAACUGAACGUCCCCUGACGGUAUCUAACCAGAAAGCCACGGCUAACUACGUGCCAGCAGCCGCGGUAAUACGUAGGUGGCAAGCGUUGUCCGGAUUUAUUGGGCGUAAAGCGAGCGCAGGCGGUUUCUUAAGUCUGAUGUGAAAGCCCCCGGCUCAACCGGGGAGGGUCAUUAGAGACUGGGAGACUUGAGUGCAGAAGAGGAGAGUGGAAUUCCAUGUGUAGCGGUGAAAUGCGUGGAUAUAUGGAGGAACACCAGUGGCGAAGGCGGCUCUCUGGACUGUAACUGACGCUGAGGCUCGAAAGCGUGGGGAGCAAACAGG